GAGGGCAUAGCUCAGUGGUAGAGUGUAUGCUUAGCAUGCAUGAGGUCCUGGGUCCAAUCCCCAGUACCUCCA
rnacentral:tRNA from 1 species